GACGAACCGUGCGAACGUUGUUCGGAAUCACUGGGCUUAAAGGGCGCGUAGGCUGCUUCGCCAGUCAGGGGUGAAAUCUUUCGGCUCAACCGGAAAAGUGCCUCUGAUACUGCGGAGCUCGAGGGAGGUAGGGGCAGACGGAACUUCCGGUGGAGCGGUGAAAUGCGUUGAUAUCGGAAGGAACGCCGGUGGCGAAAGCGGUCUGCUGGCCCUCUACUGACGCUGAGGCGCGAAAGCCAGGGGAGCAAACGGG
rnacentral:rRNA from 1 species